ACAGUAGGUUAUAGGAUUAUCCUCCAAUUACAACAUUUCCUUGUGUUUUUGUACAAGGCCAUAUGUCCAAACCCACUCACCUGAUUGGGUGAAGGGAGCAGGAUAAUGCUUUAAAAGGUGACCCUUAGUUCUCAUUGCAACCACCAAUUCUCUACGAAAAUCUCCUGUGAAGCUCUCAGUUUAGCGAAAUCUGUCGAUUCCAGCAACAAUGAAACUUUUUUCAAGUGACAGUUGGUCUGGUGCUCAUUGGACUAAGUCUUGCUCUUCCAGUUCAAGAGGAAGACGUCAGGGUCAAACGCUCCAGUAGCAAUGAAGUAAAUCCCAACAUGAACAACAUGAACAACAUGAACAACUUGAACAACAUGAACAACAACCAGAUUCUCCAGCUCCUGCUGCCCCUGAUCCUGACCCAGGCCCAGACUAACCCUACAGCAGUGGCCACACUGUUGACUCUACUGACCACCCAAGGGUGAAGAGACGCCAGUAAGCUGAAC